CCUACGGGUGGCAGCAGUGGGGAAUAUUGGACAAUGGGGGCAACCCUGAUCCAGCCAUGCCGCGUGUGUGAAGAAGGCCCUCGGGUUGUAAAGCACUUUCAGUGAGGAAGAACGCCUGGUGGUUAAUACCCAUCAGGAAAGACAUCACUCACAGAAGAAGCACCGGCUAACUCCGUGCCAGCAGCCGCGGUAAUACGGAGGGUGCGAGCGUUAAUCGGAAUUACUGGGCGUAAAGCGCGCGUAGGUGGCGUGAUAAGCCGGUUGUGAAAGCCCCGGGCUCAACCUGGGAACGGCAUCCGGAACUGUCAAGCUAGAGUGCAGGAGAGGAAGGUAGAAUUCCCGGUGUAGCGGUGAAAUGCGUAGAGAUCGGGAGGAAUACCAGUGGCGAAGGCGGCCUUCUGGACUGACACUGACACUGAGGUGCGAAAGCGUGGGUAGCAAACAGGAUUAGAUACCCCGGUAGUC
rnacentral:rRNA from 1 species